rnacentral:rRNA from 1 species
CAGCCGCCGCGGUAAUGCGUAGGUCCCGAGCGUUGUCCGGAUUUAUUGGGCGUAAAGCGUGCGCAGGCGGAUAGGUCAGUCUGUCUUAAAAGUUCGGGGCUUAACCCCGUGAUGAGAUGGAAACUGCCAAUCUAGAGUAUCGGAGAGGAAAGUGGAAUUCCUAGUGUAGCGGUGAAAUGCGUAGAUAUUGGGAGGAACACCGGCGGCGAAGGCGGCUUACUGGACGACAACUGACGUUGAGGCUCGAAGGCGUGGGUAGCAAACUGGAUUAGAUACCCCUGUAGUCCCUGUCUCUUAUACA